AUUGAACGCUGGCGGCAGGCCUUACACAUGCAAGUCGAACGGUAACAGGCCGCAAGGUGCUGACGAGUGGCGAACGGGUGAGUAAUGCAUCGGAACGUGCCCAGUCGUGGGGGAUAACGCAGCGAAAGCUGCGCUAAUACCGCAUACGAUCUAUGGAUGAAAGCGGGGGACCGUAAGGCCUCGCGCGAUUGGAGCGGCCGAUGUCAGAUUAGGUAGUUGGGGGGGUAAAGGCUCACCAAGCCAACGAUCUGUAGCUGGUCUGAGAGGACGACCAGCCACACUGGGACUGAGACACGGCCCAAACUCCUACGGGAGGCAGCAGUGGGGAAUUUUGGACAAUGGGCGCAAGCCUGAUCCAGCAAUGCCGCGUGCAGGAAGAAGGCCUUCGGGUUGUAAACUGCUUUUGUACGGAACGAAACGGCUCUGGUUAAUACCCGGGGCUAAUGACGGUACCGUAAGAAUAAGCACCGGCUAACUACGUGCCAGCAGCCGCCGUAA
rnacentral:rRNA from 1 species